CCUACGGGAGGCAGCAGUGAGGAAUAUUGGACAAUGGGCGAGAGCCUGAUCCAGCCAUGCCGCGUGCAGGAAGACUGCCCUAUGGGUUGUAAACUGCUUUUACAGAGGAAGAACCCUCCCCACGUGUGGGGAGUUGACGGUACUCUGCGAAUAAGGAUCGGCUAACUCCGUGCCAGCAGCCGCGGUAAUA
rnacentral:rRNA from 1 species